GUAGUCCACGCCGUAAACGAUGGGUACUAGACUUGGUGGGUCUUGACCCCUGCCGAGUCGGCGCUAACGCAAUAAGUACCCCGCCUGGGAAGUACGGUCGCAAGACUAAAACUCAAAGGAAUUGACGGGGGCCCGCACAAGCGGUGGAUCAUGUGGUUUAAUUCGAAGCAACGCGAAGAACCUUACCUGGGUUUGACAUCCUCGGACCGCCACAGAGAUGUGGUUUUCGUAGCAAUACGACCGAGAGACAGGUGCUGCAUGGCUGUCGUCAGCUCGUGUGGUGACAUGUUGGGGUUAAG
rnacentral:rRNA from 1 species